AUGGGGUCAAAGGCUCCCCUGCUAUGGAUGCUGCUGCUUUUGGUUACAGGCUCCACUGGGGACGUUGGGCUGACUCAGUCUCCAGCCUCCUUGACUGUGUCUCCAGGGGAGAAGACCAGCAUCUUCGGCAGCACCAGCCAGCGUGUUAAUAAAUUUGGUAUAGAGCUUAUGCACUGGUAUCAACAUAAGCCUGGACAGCCUCCCAAACUGCUGAUCUAUAGAGCAUACAAUCGAGAGUCUGGGGUGCCAGACCGGUUCAGUGGCAGUGAGUGUGGGACACACUUCACCCUCACCAUCCACCCUGUGGAGGCCAAGGAUGCUUUGAACUGUUACUGUCAGCAGGGGAGAGAGCUUCCUUCCACAGUGCUCUAG